UGGAGAGUUUGAUCCUGGCUCAGAUUGAACGCUGGCGGCAUGCCUUACACAUGCAAGUCGAACGGCAGCACGGGAGCAAUCCUGGUGGCGAGUGGCGAACGGGUGAGUAAUGUAUCGGAACGUACCUUUCAGUGGGGGAUAACGUAGCGAAAGUUACGCUAAUACCGCAUAUUCUGUGAGCAGGAAAGCAGGGGAUCGCAAGACCUUGCGCUGAUUGAGCGGCCGAUAUCAGAUUAGCUAGUUGGUGAGGUAAAGGCUCACCAAGGCGACGAUCUGUAGCGGGUCUGAGAGGAUGAUCCGCCACACUGGAACUGAGACACGGUCCAGACUCCUACGGGAGGCAGCAGUGGGGAAUUUUGGACAAUGGGCGCAAGCCUGAUCCAGCCAUGCCGCGUGAGUGAAGAAGGCCUUCGGGUUGUAAAGCUCUUUCGGCCGGGAAGAAAUCGCAUGGGUUAAUACCCUGUGCGGAUGACGGUACCGGCAUAAGAAGCACCGGCUAACUACGUGCCAGCAGCCGCGGUA
rnacentral:rRNA from 1 species